GGAAAGAUGACCUAUGGAAAAAUUGGAGAGUGGAGAUUCGACAAAAGAUCAUAUGAUAAUACCUGGCCACCGAAGAACCUUUCUCUGCCUCCACCUGGUGUUCCAGAGAGCGUGGUUACUCUGGUAAAAAUGGUGAAUGAAGCUACAGCUAACAUCCCGAACUGGGGUUCUUAGAAGUGUGUUGUGAUUGAAGCUAUUCCACUCACGCAAGAUGUAUGAUGGGUUUGUAGUUUCUAUACCCAUGUUGCACACGAGAGAAUCUUGUUCCCUCCCAAUGAUCAUUGUUAGAAUAUUUGAGACUUUCUUGUAUGCAGUUCCAUGUGUCCUUUUUUUCUAUAUGUUCCAAACCUCUGUGUAUAGUUGCAAAUCUAUUCAUAUGCAG
rnacentral:misc_RNA from 1 species